UAAAUGGUUGAGAGAAUAAACUGGAUGGAUGACCAAUCCGAGAAGGGCAUUGAACAAAGUGUAGGUAUCAUGGUCAAUUAUCUCUAAGGUACUUAGCCAA